rnacentral:hammerhead_ribozyme from 1 species
GCACUGCUGAGGAGUCCCACAAUAGGACGAAACGACCGUACAAUGC